GCAGUGACCGUGGCGGUGGAGGAGGAGGAUGAGGGAAAAAACACUGUUUUUUAUAUAUAUAAAUAUAUAUUUUAAUUGGGGUAGCCCCCAAAAUAUUGGGACAUAUAAAAAAAGACAACUCUGUACUGCAGAGUAGCUGUUGACAUUAUAGUUGCGCAGGAACUUUAUUGACUCUAGAGAACCUCGGGCAAAUCGCACAUCCCCGUGGCGGCGACUUUGCAUGCGGAUGUCAUCCAUAUCAACUUUCAAUGCCAGUUUCUGCGCUUACCAUGGUGACCUCGGGUAACGGGGAAUCAGGGACCCUGAGAAACGGCUACCACAUGCAAGGAAGGCAGC